rnacentral:rRNA from 1 species
GAGUUUGAUCAUGGCUCAGAUUGAACGCUGGCGGCAGGCCUAACACAUGCAAGUCGAACGGUAACAGGAAGCAGCUUGCUGCUUCGCUGACGAGUGGCGGACGGGUGAGUAAUGUCUGGGAAACUGCCUGAUGGAGGGGGAUAACUACUGGAAACGGUAGCUAAUACCGCAUAAUGUCGCAAGACCAAAGAGGGGGACCUUCGGGCCUCUUGCCAUCGGAUGUGCCCAGAUGGGAUUAGCUUGUUGGUGGGGUAACGGCUCACCAAGGCGACGAUCCCUAGCUGGUCUGAGAGGAUGACCAGCCACACUGGAACUGAGACACGGUCCAGACUCCUACGGGAGGCAGCAGUGGGGAAUAUUGCACAAUGGGCGCAAGCCUGAUGCAGCCAUGCCGCGUGUAUGAAGAAGGCCUUCGGGUUGUAAAGUACUUUCAGCGGGGAGGAAGGGAGUAAAGUUAAUACCUUUGCUCAUUGACGUUAUCCGCAGAAGAAGCACCGGCUAACUCCGUGCCAGCAGCCGCGGUAAUACGGAGGGUGCAAGCGUUAAUCGGAAUUACUGGGCGUAAAGCGCACGCAGGCGGUUUGUUAAGUCAGAUGUGAAAUCCCCGGGCUCAACCUGGGAACUGCAUCUGAUACUGGCAAGCUUGAGUCUCGUAGAGGGGGGUAGAAUUCCAGGUGUAGCGGUGAAAUGCGUAGAGAUCUGGAGGAAUACCGGUGGCGAAGGCGGCCCCCUGGACGAAGACUGACGCUCAGGUGCGAAAGCGUGGGGAGCAAACAGGAUUAGAUACCCUGGUAGUCCACGCCGUAAACGAUGUCGACUUGGAGGUUGUGCCCUUGAGGCGUGGCUUCCGGAGCUAACGCGUUAAGUCGACCGCCUGGGGAGUACGGCCGCAAGGUUAAAACUCAAAUGAAUUGACGGGGGCCCGCACAAGCGGUGGAGCAUGUGGUUUAAUUCGAUGCAACGCGAAGAACCUUACCUGGUCUUGACAUCCACGGAAGUUUUCAGAGAUGAGAAUGUGCCUUCGGGAACCGUGAGACAGGUGCUGCAUGGCUGUCGUCAGCUCGUGUUGUGAAAUGUUGGGUUAAGUCCCGCAACGAGCGCAACCCUUAUCCUUUGUUGCCAGCGGUCCGGCCGGGAACUCAAAGGAGACUGCCAGUGAUAAACUGGAGGAAGGUGGGGACGACGUCAAGUCAUCAUGGCCCUUACGACCAGGGCUACACACGUGCUACAAUGGCGCAUACAAAGAGAAGCGACCUCGCGAGAGCAAGCGGACCUCAUAAAGUGCGUCGUAGUCCGGAUUGGAGUCUGCAACUCGACUCCAUGAAGUCGGAAUCGCUAGUAAUCGUGGAUCAGAAUGCCACGGUGAAUACGUUCCCGGGCCUUGUACACACCGCCCGUCACACCAUGGGAGUGGGUUGCAAAAGAAGUAGGUAGCUUAACCUUCGGGAGGGCGCUUACCACUUUGUGAUUCAUGACUGGGGUGAAGUCGUAACAAGGUAACCGUAGGGGAACCUGCGGUUGGAUCACC